rnacentral:rRNA from 1 species
UACGUAGGGCGCAAGCGUUGUCCGGAAUUAUUGGGCGUAAAGAGCUCGUAGGUGGCUUGUCACGUCGGGUGUGAAAGCUUGGGGCUUAACUCCAGGUCUGCAUUCGAUACGGGCUGGCUAGAGGUAGGUAGGGGAGAACGGAAUUCCUGGUGUAGCGGUGAAAUGCGCAGAUAUCAGGAGGAACACCAAUGGCGAAGGCAGAUCUCUGGGCCGUAACUGACGCUGAGGAGCGAAAGCAUGGGGAGCGAAUAGG